AGGAUGCCCCUGAUUGCCCAACCACCACAGUCUCAGCUGAGAAAAAAAACAAAAAGACCUGGUGGUGUUGCAGAUGGCUCUGUCAUGUCAAGCAGCAAACCAGCAAUCGAGUGAUUCCACUCAAUGAAGACACGGACGAGAUUGUUGACACCGGCUGCAAGGAUGUGUCUCUGAAAAUCCCGGUCUUUGAGACGGCCGUAGCAGAAAGUGUCAACACAAAGGACCAGGAGGUUUCACCCGCCACCACCACUGCAGGGACGACGGCAGUGAUGACGGAGAAGACACCAUGGUGGCGCCGGUUUUGUCGUGUUUCC